AACGUAUUACAUAAAUCAUAUAUACAUGCACAAGUAGAUGAAAGGUUUAUAUUAAUCAUAUUUACACAGCACGCAAAUCAGUUCAAUAUUCAUCAAUCUUGUUCGUAAGCCCGCAAAUGUUUCUCAUUUAUCCUUUUCCCAGACUUAUACGAAUCAGAUGUAUUAAGUCAGCUAGACUAAACAGGGACAGGGUUAUAAUAAUAUACUCAGCGGUUCCCGUAAUUAUCACUUACAAUUCCAUAUUCAUCUGCUUUCUAAUAAAAUACAACAUAUAUACUCGCAACAUUUGCACAUGGCUAUUUUUUAUGCUUAUAACCUAGCUAUAUAAAAUGAUAACAGACGUUUUGUAUGUCCAGAUGAAUAAUUCGUUUUACGGAACUAUAGUGUCAAGGAAACAUCGUUAAUUUAAGCUGGGCCAACUUCAGCAUGGGAAAAGACGGUUUUUCAAGGUUUUCAAUACCUUUUUUCCUUCUCUGCGCAAAACGUUAUCCUUCCAGAAAAAGAUCAAACAGUUCAAUGUGGAAUUCGUAGUGGCUAUAGUGACGGACCAAAAUCGAGACACCAUCGUAUUUUCUGACGUCGACUUUUCAGCGAAGUUAAACGCAAUGAAGAAGAACGUUGGAGUGUACAUCAACAUGAGACAGGCAACUGCCAACAAACAGGUAUGAAUGUUCUUUAAAUUAACAUGCGAGGUUGAUACCUUGGGUGAUGCUGUGUUGUCGCGUCGCCUUUUUCUGGAAAUCUUGAACAAUUUGUAGUUGAGGAAGAUAAUUGGUGGAAAUAUAAUGGCAAAGGAAAUGACUAAAGCCACUGGCAAGGACAUUACCAUGUCGUUCAGAGAAAUCAUUAUUGCAAUAAUUGGUAGAAUACAUAAUAUUGCGAGGAGUGUUAUUAGUCUGCGUCUGGUCACCGAUGUUCGAUGAAAGAAAGGAUAGUAUACUCCCAGAUAUCGUUCAAUAUUCAUUACCAGAAGUGCGAUGAUAGAAAAGCCAUGUCUGAAAUACGCCGGUAAAUCUCGGUCACAGUUAAUAAAUGGUGCUCUUCAUUUAACCAGAAGACUAGGUGAGCGAUAAUUAAGGGAUGAUUCGUUAUGACCACAAAGAAGUCGAAGCACGAUAGCACCAUGAUCAUGAAAUAACAUACUUUACUUCGAAGAUAUGCCGAGGAUUUCCAAAAACUGACGAU
rnacentral:lncRNA from 1 species